AGAUGAGAGACAACGGAUUCGAACCCGAUGUCGUUACUUUCGGUAUAGUUAUCAAUGCACAUUGCAAGGUAAAGAAGUAUGAUGAAGCAAUUCGGUUGUUUCACGAAAUGAAAGCGAAGAAUGUGAAGCCAUCACCUCAUGUGUUCUGUACCUUAAUCAAUGGUUUGGGUUCUGAGAAGAGAUUGAGCGAGGCUCUAGAGUUUUUCG
rnacentral:misc_RNA from 1 species